CCAUUCCUCCACACAAACACACAAAAAGGAAAAGAAACCCAAAUCUUGCAUCCAAAGGCGCUAAAUCUUACCCUUAUCCUUAUAUUAGUUAAUUGUGUCUUAAAUAGGUUGGGUCAUAAUGGUGUUGAUCCUACCUGAUUAUGAAACAGAUCAAACCGGAUUAGAUAGGUAAAGACUCUAAACCUAAAGCUGACCUGUUUAAUAAAUAGGUUGUCAUGUUGAUCCAUUUACAACAUGAACCUGUUUAUGACAAACCCAUACCUGCUUAUCUCAUAUCGGGUUAUUGUCUGCUUGGUGGUCCGGGUCAGGAUUGCUGCUCCUAGUAGUAAGGCUCAGACAAUUGGUGUUAGGUUUCAAAUUUAUUGAAAGAUGUUAGG
rnacentral:lncRNA from 1 species